CCUUGUUCUGUCCAGGUUGUGCCUAGCCAUGAAACACUACAGUGGCGGCAAAGCGAUGCUGGAUGCGGGGAUGUCGCUAGCGCAAAGCACAAGCAUGCCACCGAGGCAGUGGGUUGGGAUAACCUGUUAAAGUACUUUGGUGUCUCACCCCAGCCUCUGCUGAACAGAUGUCUACAGCACUGAGUUAAAAAGGAUCUUGCCUGCAACAUGAGGGGAAAGAAUGAAAAGUCUGGGACUGGUUACCCUUGGCGAGAAGAUUUAACACAACAAAGGUCACGGUAGCUUGAGCUCCAGUGUUCAGGAGAUUCAGCAAACCUCACACAAGGCCAAGACUGACUUCAGCAUUCAUACAAGUAGCCAAUGUAAACAAUUCUCUCACUGCCCUGAAAUUUGGACUUGCUCACAGGAUGAAGCAGUGACCUACUGAACCUCUGGGAAGAGUAAUAUUAGCCUCCGUCUGGUCUGCUGCCUUCUUGGCUUGGGUCUGGCGACAGCCCAGCUACCCUGAGGACCAACGCAGGCACUCUGGUGUGGUGUGACCCCAGGGUGCUUGUAGGGCUGCUGCUCCCAUAAAAGAAGAGGAGAUACACAAUGAGAUCACUGAAGUAGAGACACCCCCUCUGCAUUUAGGCACCUAAAAACCCAGCUGCUUCUCAGAUGCAGCAGGUUCCCCAGCUCUGCUUCAAUCCACCUGGAGGACUGACCUACUGAGGACUAAUCCUGGGAUCUGUGAGUGCCAUUAGAUCCCAUGAAAGUGUUGACCACAGAGAACAUUCUUCCAUCACAGCCAAGAGCUGCUGCUCGAGAUGGAUUUCAAAGUGCCUACAGACACAUGUUCAUGACAGCAAGCCUCCGGGCUGACUCGCAGGCAGAUGACUGCCACUUAAACUGAGGUCACUUCUGAGGUCACCAGCACCCUCACUACAGACUGACUGGCUUUCAUGCACAAGUGAUGGAGUUUCUUGUUACAAAAUGAAAUACUAGGGUGUCAAGGAGGCCAGACAAGCAAUGCACUUGCUCUCAAGUGAAGAUGGUGGCUGCUGGUUCCUCUCAGAUUGGUGGUGCUGCUCCUUCAGGCUUCCCUAAGCCUUCUUGCCACCGUAUUGUUGCCUGGAGUACUGCUGCUGUCACUUCUUCAGCUUGUUCUAUACAACUGGAUUUUUCUUUUCUGGGUUUUCUGUACCUUCAAAUUUGGUUCUGCUUGCACACCCAACCAUGGUUGGAAUUGCAUUGAAAAGGCACCCAACAAAGAACAACACGAAGCAGCUGCCCAUACAGCCUGCUUAGCUUCAAGUGCAGUGGAGGAGAUGAUAGCUGCCCAGGUUGGACUCCUGAGCACGGAAAUGGCUCAAAAAAGGCCAAAACCAUACUGCAUGAAACGAUCUAUUGAGGAGUCAGCCUCCCUGACAGCACAGGGAGGAAGGCUAGGUGCUGAUAGGUUUAUGUAAGCUCUAUAACCCACCCUAUGCAAUAAGGAGAUUUGUUGCAAUUGCAACAGCCAAGAAUGGGGUGUCUCUAUCUUCCCUAGUGGUAGAAUGAGUGUGGGCGACCUAAGAAACUCCUAAAUGGGAUGAAGGGAUUGUUGCCUUCAGCUAAACUCUUGUCUUUGCCUCUUAGGACUUCAAGAUAAAGAGCAGGCCGUUGGAUCUAGUCAGGACUUACAGGAGCAGCCAGGCUGAUAACAACAUUUCAAGGCUUUCAGGCCCUCUGGAUUCAUUUUGGUCUAAUCCAUGUGUAGUUAAUUUUACUUCCUAAAGCCCUUUUGCAGGCUCUGUCAAAGGGUCUGUUCUUUCUCGCAUCCCACCUCAGGUGUACGUGGUGCCGGUGGGUAACCUUGAAGAGGUGCUGCACCCUACCACAAGCGCCUAGGUCGAUUGAUUCCCACAUGCUCUGUGGGCUCAAGAAGGCAACCUGGGGUCCCUUAGCCCAAAGGUGCAACCCCAAAAGGAGCGGUUACUGCUGAUACCAUGGCUGAAAAUUCCUCGGGCAUCUCUCACUGAACUUCAUUUCCUGCUUGGCUCUGGCAAAGCUCCCCGUUUCCAUGGUGAUGAUUUAUUCCUUUAAAUAGUUCCCAUUCAAGAACAAUAUCAUGGGUCCUUCCCUGUUGUUGGUUUAAUUAAAAAUAACUUACCCUUCUCCUGGCGUCACAUCUUUGGCUGAAGCAGUUGGAAUUGGACACAAGCCUCCAACCUCUCUGAUCCGCUCUUGCUCCCACCCAGAGAUGACCCUUCUGCCUCCUUGCUGUUCAGUGUAACCCCCCAGGUCUGUCCUUGGCCCUUCCUGACCUUCCCUACUGAGUUGCCUCACACAGGUGGAUGUGGAAGGAAAACGCAGAGAGGAAGAAAAGAGGGACCGGCUGAGCUCUCUCAGGACAGCACUGCGCAGCCCAGCGUCCACCCAGCACUGGAAGGGCAGCCUGGCGCGCUCCACAGCUCUGCCCUUGAGCUUUCCUUGCUGCGAGCGGGGAGGCUUGUGAGAAAUAGGAAACCUCGUGAGAACAGCCCAGCUCAUGAUGAAACGGUCAUAGUGCAUCACUCAUCGCUGCAGCCGGGAUGUUCAAAUAAGCUGCCAAAGAGGGAGCCUUUCCUCUCCCCCCUAGUCCUUGGUUCCCAAAGCAGAUAUUUUUUUCUGUGAGUAGAACAAGGACUUCUAACCUGAAAACUGGAAACAAAACAAAAAAGAAAGAAAAUUAAAAGGCUGAACUGCUUAUUUGGUGUAUUUUAAAGUGUUCAUUUUAUUGCAUAGAAGUCUGAAAAGGCAGCCUGGUCUCCCUACAACAGGGACUGUUCGGUGUUCCUUGGGACAGUUACUUCUUGCUUUGCAUAAAGAAGGAGAUGGAGCAUCUGGUUUCUCUGCUUCAUUUUAAAUGCCAAUGCUUAUUUUGUUAAUACAUUUACAUUCCAAUUUUCUUCACGCACAGUGAAAAAGGAACUCUUUGGGGUUCUUCUAGAUAGAAGCACAUUAGCAUGCUUGUUUUUCAGGCACCAGUAGCAGACAUGCAUUUAGAGCCUCAGGAGUUCAACCACCAGUGAGGAGAGCAGGCUUUGGGGAAAGUGAAUUCCCUAUUUACGAAACAGAUUUCUGAUUCACUGCAGAAAUUUUCCGACUUGCUGCAUUAACUACAGCCAGCAUUAGCUUAGGCUGGUAGAUGGACAAAAAUCUAUCUACAAAAAAUAAAAGUAUAUAAUAUAGCUUUACAAAAACCUUUUGCUCAGGCACACAAAACAGCAUCCCAGGAGCAGCAGGUAGCCAGCUAAUCCAGAAAGGCCGGUACAGGUACGAUUCCUUUCACAACACGUGGGCUGUGCAAUCUUUUAAAGCAGUUGCAGCAACUUUCAGACGAGCAGUGAAACUCAUCCUUAUAAGGUGGGAAAGCUCCAUGUUCUGCUGUGAGAAGACUGGAAUGUGAGCAUGGCAAGGAUUGCUUCAUGUGAGCCCUUAUCAGAGAGAUUGGCGAUAAAACUGAAGAAGUUCAUGUGACACCAGAAGAAUUUCCCCCUUAUCUAAAGGAAGCCGGAGAUGUGCAAAUCAGAGGUACAACACGCAGGAUGAGUUAUGAGGAGGAAAUGAUGUAAAGAGGCCAGACUCUUUGGAAAGUUGCCUGCUUGCUUGAGUGUGUCCUAUUUUCUGCUUUGGGGGAUUGUAUUGACAUCAACACAACAGCAAUUUUAGAAACACUUCACUGGAAGCUUGAAUCUGCCAACUGUAGGACAAAGAGACAACAUCCAAAGUCCUUAGGACCCUCAGAGUGUUCCAGCCCUAUUUCUGACCUCUCUGUGACAUUGCAUUGGGAGAAAGCGAGGGAGGAUUUUGACAUAAGCCUUUCAAUCUAUCAGUUAUUUGUCAUUUCCCUCAGGCAAUUUUUCCUGCGAGUAGCAGCCUCUAUGCCUUUUAAAAUACAGUGGGGGAAGAUGCUAUGCUAUCAAAAUGGUUCAUUUGCCACUUACCAGACACCCACAAAGUAUGCCCAGAAGAGAUUUUUCAAUCAUUUAAACCUUUGUUUUAAAUGGCUUGUUUUCUUUACAAGCAAAGACAAAAAUGCUACUUCUUGUAUAGAAUGUAGGCAUGCCAAGCGUUAAAUUCCAGCUAUUUCCUCCGUACCCUUUUCAAAGCCUGGCUAGAAGAGUCUUGCAAGGUUGUAAGAAGCCUGUGUCCUCCUCAGCUUCUCUUGACACAUCACUUUAGACAGUGUCUCUCUGCAUGCUCCCUCGUUAAUCUCCCCAUCAAACCCCUCCUGCUUCCAUCCCUUGUGCCACUGCUGCUGUGUUUUUCCAGUUUUACUUCUUUACCAUGGUGCAGGGCAAGGGCAGCAAGCAGCUCCAUCUGCCACCAGACCCUUUCCCUACCCAAUCUACCAGCAGGACACAUGGCCACCAGUCUUGCACCAGCAGGAGAUGUUGUCCAUCUUGUGAACAUACAGGGGAGAGACCCAGGUCUUACUCAAACAUUGAAGGCAAGAAACCUGCUUUCACACAGAGCAGAUGUUUUCCACAUAGUCAUAAGUUUCCAUGGAGAAGGCAGGACUUCAUUCCUAAAACCAGACAGACCCAAACAUCGCUAAGUUUCCCAUUGGGACCACGUAACCUGAUGGCCCCAAUAUGUCCUUCCUCCUUCCCUUUCUGUGGUUCUUUACAACCUCUCCUUCUCCACGUCUUUCCUUUCGCCUGGUCUCAAUGCUUGGCCAAAAUGCUGCUUAUCCCACCCAGCACUGCAUGAUGGAGAGCCAGACAUCAUAUUUUCCCUUGCAUGGUCCAUGAACUCUAGCACGAGCAGUCACAAAGCACAGGACUCCUGGCAAAGCCAGAGGGCUGUGAGGGAAGGACCACCAGCUCACCUGGUCCCCAGGCAGUGCAGACCCGGCACACUGUUUGGCCAGGAGAUCUCCAAUGCAAACCGGGUACCAUGAGAAGAGGUCACCAGCGGUAUUUUAGUUCUAGUUUAGUUUUUUAGUAUUUUAGUUGUGGUGCUAUGAGGCCAUGCUACAGCAGAUACUGUCUUUCAGGCAUGUUUUUUUUAUCAAAAGACCUUGUCCUUCAUGAGGAGCUCAGAGCAUGUUUUAUAAAGAAUAGCACUGGGUUAUUUUUAUCAAAGACAAUGUGGCCCAAGCAUAAUGGGGCUCAGCGUGACUUGCUUUUUCCCAGAACAAUAGCCAUUGUUCUGGUGGAGCUGAGGACAGUUUGGGCUCUUACCAAUAGCCAUUUUUAUAUAAACCAGGGGAAAAAAUAAAACAGAACCUGACUCCUUAGCUGGGAAGAGCUGCAGUGGUUUCUGCAUCGCUAUGUGACUAAAAUGUGGUAAAAACACAAGCCAGUCUCAAGCCAGCAG